UCUCCGUUGGUGAACCAGCGGAGGGAUCAUUACAGGACUCGCAAGACUCCUUCACCCUGUGAACCUCACUACAAGCACGAUGCUUCGGCGGGUGUCCCGGCGGGGGUUUUCCCUCGCCGGGGCGCGCAGCCCGCCGGCAGCCUACUAUACUCUGUCUCUUUGCGUUGGCAUCUCGAGAAAAAACAAACAAGUUAAAACUUUCAACAACGGAUCUCUUGGUUCUG
rnacentral:misc_RNA from 1 species